AUUGAACGCUGGCGGCAGGCCUAACACAUGCAAGUCGAACGAGUAGCGGACGGGCGAGUAAUGUCUGGGAAACUGCAUGAUGGAGGGGGCUAACUACUGGAAAAGGUAGCUAAUACCGCAUAACAUGCGAUGUGCGCAGAUGGGAUUAGGUAGUCGGUGGGGUAACGGCUCACCAAGGCGACGCUCCCUAGCUGGUCUGAGAGGAUGACCAGCCACACGGGAACUGAGACACGGUCCAGACUCCUACGGGAGGCAGCAGUGGGGAAUAUUGCACAAUGGGCGCAAGCCUGAUGCAGCCAUGCCGCGUGUAUGAAGAAGGCCUUCGGGUUGUAAAGUACUUUCAGCGAGGAGGCGUUACUCGCAGAAGAAGCACCGGCUAACUCCGUGCCAGCAGCCGCGGUAAUAC
rnacentral:rRNA from 1 species